rnacentral:rRNA from 1 species
CGAACAAUUCCUAAAUAGUCUCUGACUAUUUAGAUAGUUGUUAGUGGCAGACGGGUGAGUAAUGCGUAGGAAUCUACCUAGUAGUAUGGAAUAGCCAUUAGAAAUGAUGGGUAAUACUGUAUAAUCCCUGCGGGGGAAAGAUUUAUCGCUAUUAGAUGAGCCUACGUUAGAUUAGCUAGUUGGUAAGGUAAUGGCUUACCAAGGCUAUGAUCUAUAGCUGGUCUGAGAGGACGAUCAGCCACACUGGAACUGAGAUACGGUCCAGACUCCUACGGGAGGCAGCAGUGGGGAAUAUUGGACAAUGGGCGAAAGCCUGAUCCAGCUAUGCCGCGUGAGUGAAGAAGGCCUUCGGGUUGUAAAGCUCUUUCAAUAGGGAAGAUAAUGACGGUACCUAUA